AUUAUUAUUGAGUGCACUUUAAACCCUCUCAGCACAUUAAUUAGCAUAGCGAAAACCAGAUCUUACGUAUAGAAACUUGACAAAAAUGAUCGAGAAAACAAAAGCACAAAAUGACAAAGCAAUAAAUAGAAGAAAGCACGCAAGAAAUUUAUGUCGUUCGGCUAACGAUGCGUCAUCGUGUCUACUUAUGUCCACAGGCAAGACCUCCUCAACGCAUUCUUUGAUUAAUCUACAACACAAAAGUAUGAGUAAAAUUGGAUACAUGAGAUUCUCUCCCUAUUUUUUUCUCAACAAGUUAGGGAUUUCAAAGUUGAUAAAACCCCCAAAAUCCAAAAUUAGAAGGAAAUGAUCACCACCAUCUUUUCAAGUCUCCAGAUUUAAUUUUAGCUAUUGAUCUCCCCUUAAAAACCCACCAAAAGAUGUUUUCGAUCCAUCUCUAAUCUUAA
rnacentral:lncRNA from 1 species